rnacentral:tRNA from 1 species
CUCGCAGUCGGUUAGCGGCUAUACCACCUGCUUUGGGAGCAGGCACAUCGUGAGUUCGAGUCUCACCUGCGAGACCA